UAUUAUCUUGGGUGUGUUGUAUGCCAAGUGAUUCGGCCAACGUGGUCCUUCUAUACUCAUACACCACCUAGCCUGGUUUCGAAUGGUGUACCUGCUGCCUGCAGAUCGAUAUGGUUUCAUGAUAUGUGUGCUACCCUAAUGCCAUACUAGUUCUUUUGUUCUUUGUUUUUUGUCAUUUGUUAUGUUGUUUGAACUUGAAAUUGUUUGAAUAUAUGAGACACUUGUAACAUGUAUCAUAAGGAUUUAGUGUGGUGCCUUGUUGGACAAUUAUGCCAACUGUAUUCGGUUAAUUUGUGACUUAUGAAAUAUCAUUUUCAGUGCC